GCUCCGUCUCGUAUUUACAGAGAGAGCUGAAGCUCUUAUGUCUUACAAAACACCAGAACUCCCAAAACCUCUUUUCUCUCUCGCUCACUUUCCCUGAGCUCGGAUCACCUGGAUCGCUUCGGUUUAUCGGACUGCUCCAAAUCGGAAAGUUCAAUUAAUCUGCGAAAAUGCCUCUCAGACUUGAAAUCAAGAGGAAACUUGCUCAAAGAUCAGAAAGAGUAAAAUCUGUGGAUCUACAUCCAACAGAACCAUGGAUUCUGGCAAGUUUGUAUUCAGGAACAGUGUGUAUUUGGAACUACCAGUCUCAGACCAUGGCUAAGUCUUUUGAGGUCACUGAGUUACCAGUGAGAUCAGCCAAAUUUAUAUCACGUAAGCAGUGGGUGGUCGCUGGAGCUGAUGACAUGUUUAUUCGUGUAUACAAUUACAAUACAAUGGAUAAGGUCAAAGUGUUUGAGGCGCAUACUGACUACAUUAGGUGUGUGGCCGUGCAUCCUACACUCCCAUAUGUACUCUCAUCAUCUGAUGACAUGCUCAUAAAGCUUUGGGAUUGGGAGAAAGGUUGGAUUUGUACUCAGAUAUUUGAAGGACAUUCACAUUAUGUGAUGCAAGUGACAUUUAAUCCAAAAGACACUAACACAUUUGCGAGUGCAUCCCUUGACCGUACUAUUAAGAUAUGGAACCUUGGCUCCCCUGAUCCAAAUUUUACAUUGGAUGCCCAUCAGAAAGGAGUAAACUGCGUUGAUUACUUUACAGGUGGUGACAAGCCUUAUCUAAUUACCGGUUCUGACGACCACACUGCUAAGGUUUGGGAUUAUCAAACCAAAAGUUGUGUCCAGACAUUAGAAGGCCAUACACACAAUGUAUCUGCCGUGUGUUUUCAUCCUGAACUUCCUAUAAUAAUUACUGGAUCUGAGGAUGGAACAGUCCGCAUAUGGCAUGCAACCACUUAUAGGCUUGAGAACACAUUAAAUUAUGGGCUUGAAAGAGUUUGGGCUAUUGGAUACAUGAAAGGUUCACGUCGAGUAGUGAUUGGUUAUGAUGAAGGGACCAUCAUGGUAAAACUUGGCCGUGAAGUACCAGUUGCUAGUAUGGACAAUGGUGGAAAAAUAAUUUGGGCCAAGCAUAAUGAAAUUCAAACUGUGAACAUUAAGAGUGUGGGAGCAGAUUUUGAGGCUGUUGAUGGAGAAAGAUUGCCCUUGGCUGUGAAGGAGUUGGGCACAUGUGAUCUUUACCCACAAAGCUUAAAACACAAUCCAAAUGGGAGAUUUGUUGUUGUCUGUGGAGAUGGUGAAUACAUCAUAUAUACUGCUUUAGCAUGGAGAAAUCGAUCAUUUGGUUCGGCUUUGGAGUUUGUUUGGUCGUCAGAUGGAGAAUAUGCUGUUAGAGAGAGUACCUCAAAGAUUAAGAUUUUCAGCAAAAACUUCCAGGAAAAGAAGAGUGUUCGACCAACCUUUUCAGCAGAACAUAUUUAUGGUGGAACUUUACUGGCAAUGUGCUCAAAUGAUUUUAUUUGUUUUUAUGACUGGGCUGAAUGCAGGUUGAUUCGGCGAAUAGAUGUUAAUGUGAAAAACCUCUAUUGGGCUGACAGUGGUGAUCUAGUGGCUAUUGCCAGUGAUACAUCUUUCUAUAUCCUCAAGUACAAUCGCGAUGUAGUUUCUUCUUAUUUGGAUAGUGGAAGACCUGUAGAUGAACAGGGUGUGGAGGAUGCCUUUGAGCUUCUUCAUGAAAUGAAUGAACGUGUCAGGACUGGUUUAUGGGUUGGGGAUUGUUUCAUUUACAACAACUCUUCCUGGAGGCUUAAUUAUUGUGUCGGUGGCGAGGUAACCACAAUGUUCCACUUGGACCGACCUAUGUACUUGUUGGGUUAUCUUGCUAGUCAAAGCCGGGUGUAUCUGAUAGACAAAGAGUUCAAUGUUAUGGGUUACACUUUACUUCUGAGUUUGAUUGAAUACAAGACUCUGGUAAUGCGAGGAGACAUGGACAGAGCCAAUGAAAUUUUACCUUCAAUUCCCAAAGAGCACCAUAAUAGUGUGGCUCGUUUCUUGGAAUCACGGGGUAUGGUAGAGGAAGCACUUGAAGUGGCAACAGAUCCUGAUUACAGAUUUGAGCUAGCCAUACAGCUUGGAAUAUUAGAAGUUGCAAAGGAAAUUGCAACUGAAGUGCAAAGUGAGUCUAAAUGGAAGCAGUUGGGAGAACUAGCUAUGUCUACUGGAAAGUUAGAGAUGGCUGAGGAAUGUUUGAAGUAUGCAAUGGACUUGAGUGGUUUGCUACUGCUCUAUUCUUCUUUAGGAGAUGCUGAAGGGAUAGCAAAACUUGCAACCCUAGCCAAGGAGCAAGGGAAGAACAAUGUUGCAUUCCUUUGUUUAUUCAUGUUAGGUCGUACAGAAGAGUGUCUGGAGCUGCUGGUGGAGAGUAAUCGGAUACCUGAGGCUGCUUUAAUGGCCCGAUCUUAUCUUCCAAGCAAGGUUUCAGAGAUAGUAGCUAUUUGGAGAAAAGAUCUUAAUAAGGUUAAUCCUAAAGCUGCUGAGUCUCUGGCUGAUCCAGAGGAGUAUCCUAAUUUGUUCGAGGAUUGGCAAGUUGCUCUUGCUGUAGAAUCUAAAGCCACAGAAACGAGGGGUGUAUAUGCUCCUGCAGAGGAGUAUACAAACCAUGUUGAUAAGCUACCAAUAACCCUUGUCGAAGCUUUCAGGAAUAUGCAAGUGGACGAAGAGGAGCCUUUUGAAAAUGGAGAUGCAAAUCAUGAUGAGGUUACAGAACAGAACGGGGAACAGAGCGGGGAGGAACAUAAUGGAGAAGAUGGGAGUCAAGAGGAGGCUGUUGUGGUGGAUGCCGAUUCUACAGAUGGUGCAGUACUCGUUAAUGGUAACGAGGCUGAAGAAGAGUGGGGUACGAAUAAUGAAGGAACCCCGUCAGCCUAAAAGGGAAUUGGUUGGGCCAGUAUGAAAAUCCAAUUUUGUCUCUGUGCUUACGCCACGACACUAGGUCCUUAUGAAGAUUGUCGGUCCAGCUAUACGGAUCCCUUACUAAGGUCUUCCACAAAAGACCAGAAAAGAGGUGAUUUAAGGGACCGAUUGUCUCUGUUACCAAGUGGUGCGGCUUUGUAGCAAAUUGAAUUUAUGUUGGGCACAAUAUAAAUAGUUUCAUAGCUCGAGUUAGUCUGCUUUUUCUAAAUUACAGUUUUAGCAUAUUCUUUGAGGCCUUUUCCCACCCCCUAAAAUUUUCUUGUGCCAUUGUGAAUGUAGAAAGAAUUGAUCUAGAUGGUUUACAAAUUUCGACCCAAUUGCAUUCGUUCAAAAUAGAUAUUUGCUUUACACCAUAGUUUUGUUUGUUUUUUGGGAAUUCUUUUAUGCGAUUUUGGACUGUAAACGUGUAUUAUUCAUUAGAAUAUAUAUAUAUAUAUAUAUAUAUAUA